GCUAUUGUCAGCAGCAAAUACAAGGUUCCAGUUCCUAGGGGGUGCCGACGAGGCACCACCAGAAGAAGAAACCAAGGGAGGGAAAUCAAAUGGGGAGAGCACAGAAUCCAUGAAAGGAAGAGGAGGAGGUCCUCCGGCAAAGCCGGAGGAGACGGGAAAUAGGAGUUGAGAUCAGCCGGAGCAGAGGAAGGGAAAAAAUCUUUUAAGCAGGAUGACUUUUGCCGAGAAGAUCCAGCUUAUGGACUGAUGUGGACAUCCAACCGUCCAUGCCUAUCCGAGGAGGAGCUAAAGAUCGACGGCCGAGAUCCCUUCAUUUUAUCUUAUUUUAUUAAUUGUAAUUUUUUAUUUAAUUAUGCAUUUUUCCUUUUUUACCCUUACUUAAGGGAUUUGUCUUAUGUAAGCCCAAGGGGCAAAAUUGUCUUUUAGUUUCUUUUAAGGCCUAUAUAGAGAGGCAUUUGCUCUUGUAUUAGGAUGAUGGAUUAUUAAUAAAAUUUGUGUUUUUGCA